rfam:Ovis aries breed Texel chromosome 10, whole genome shotgun sequence.
UCCCUGGUGGUCUAGUGGUGACGAUUUGGCGCUUUCACUGCCACAGUCUGGGUUUGAUUCCUGUUCAGGGAA